rnacentral:rRNA from 1 species
AGUGAGUGCGAGAAGGGCGUUCGGUGGAUGCCUUGGCACUAGAAGGCGAUGAAGGACGUGGCACGCUGCGAAAAGCCACGGGGAGCCGCGAGUAGGCUUUGAUCCGUGGAUAUCCGAAUGGGGCAACCCCCUCGCAAGAGGAUCCCUCACUGAAUACAUAGGUGUGGGAGGCAAACCCGGGGAACUGAAACAUCUCAGUACCUGGAGGAAAAGACAUCAAUUGAGAUUCCGCUAGUAGUGGCGAGCGAACGCGGAACAGGCCAGUGGCCAUGAGAAGACAAGCAGAAUGCUCUGGAAAGUGCAGCCAUAGUGGGUGAUAGCCCCUUAUGCGUAAUGCUUCUUAUGGUCCUUGAGUAGGGCGGGGCACGUGAAACCCUGUCUGAACAUGGGGGGACCACCCUCCAAGCCUAAAUACUCUCUAGUGACCGAUAGUGAACAAGUACCGUGAGGGAAAGGUGAAAAGCACCCCGACGAGGGGAGUGAAAGAGACCUGAAACCGGACGCCUACAAGCAGUCGGAGCCUCUUAUGGGGUGACGGCGUACCUUUUGUAUAAUGGGUCAGCGAGUUUCUGUUUGCAGCAAGCUUAAGCCG